CCCAGCUCGCCAUGCUAGAGCACUUUUUCAAUGGGCUCCCCAAUGACAAGAUGACAACGCAUUCGUAUGUCAUCCAUAUCAACUUUCGAUGACCACGGGUAACGGGAAAUCAGGGUUCGAUUACGGAGAGGGAGCCUGAGAAACGGCUACCACAUGCAAGGAAGGCAGCAGGUGUGCAAAUGACCCACUCCCGACGCAGGAAGGUAGUGACG